rnacentral:rRNA from 2 species
UGCAAGUCGAGCGGACAGAUGGGAGCUUGCUCCCUGAUGUUAGCGGCGGACGGGUGAGUAACACGUGGGUAACCUGCCUGUAAGACUGGGAUAACUCCGGGAAACCGGGGCUAAUACCGGAUGCUUGAUUGAACCGCAGGUUCAAUUAUAAAAGGUGGCUUUUAGCUACCACUUACAGAUGGACCCGCGGCGCAUUAGCUAGUUGGUGAGGUAACGGCUCACCAAGGCAACAAUGCGUAGCCAACCUGAGAGGGUGAUCGGCCACACUGGGACUGAGACACGGCCCAAACUCCUACGGGAGGCAGCAGUAGGGAAUCUUCCGCAAUGGACGAAAGUCUGACGGAGCAACGCCCCGGGAGUGAUGAAGGUUUUCGGAUCGUAAAACUCUGUUGUUAGGGAAGAACAAGUACCGUUCGAAUAGGGCGGUACCUUGACGGUACCUAACCAGAAAGCCACGGCUAACUACGUGCCAGCAGCCGCGGUAAUACGUAGGUGGCAAGCGUUGUCCGGAAUUAU